AUGAACGGAGACAGCACCUUUGCAAAGAGACCCAGGGAUGAUGCUCAGAUAUCAGAGAAGAAACACAAGGCCUUCAAUGAUAUUGCCAGAUACUUAUCUAAUAAAGAGUGGGGAAAGCUGAAAAACUCAGAGAAAAUCACCUAUGUGUAUAUGAAGAGAAACUAUGAGACCAUGACUAAACUAGGUCUCUAGGCCACCCUCCCAACUUUCAUGUACAAUAAAUGGGCUGCAGAAUUCCAGGGGAAUGAUUCUGAUAUAGACUAAAACUGCAGGAAUCAGGAUGAAUAUCCUCAGAUGGCUUUCGGCAUGCUACAAGGGAACUUUCCAAAGAUGAUGCCCAAGAAGCCAGCAGAGGAAGGAAAUGAUUUGAAGGGAGUGCCAGAAACAUCUGGCUCACAAAACAAUGGGAAACAGCUGUGUCCCCUGGGAAAAGAAAGUACCUCUGAGAAGACUAACAAGACAUCUAGACCCAAGAAAAGGGGGAACACGUCUGGACCCACGGACUGCGAGAGAGAAAGUAUCUAGUGAUUUAUGAAGAGAUCAGAAACCCUGAGGAAGAUGACAA
rnacentral:lncRNA from 1 species